rnacentral:rRNA from 1 species
AGGAUGAUCAGCCACAUUGGGACUGAGACACGGCCCAAACUCCUACGGGAGGCAGCAGUGGGGAAUCUUGCGCAAUGGGCGAAAGCCUGACGCAGCCAUGCCGCGUGAAUGAUGAAGGUCUUAGGAUUGUAAAAUUCUUUCACCGGGGACGAUAAUGACGGUACCCGGAGAAGAAGCCCCGGCUAACUUCGUGCCAGCAGCCGCGGUAAUACGAAGGGGGCUAGCGUUGCUCGGAAUUACUGGGCGUAAAGGGAGCGUAGGCGGACAUUUAAGUCAGGGGUGAAAUCCCGGGGCUCAACCUCGGAAUUGCCUUUGAUACUGGGUGUCUUGAGUAUGAGAGAGGUGUGUGGAACUCCGAGUGUAGAGGUGAAAUUCGUAGAUAUUCGGAAGAACACCAGUGGCGAAGGCGACACACUGGCUCAUUACUGACGCUGAGGCUCGAAAGCGUGGGGAGCAAACAGGAUUAGAUACCCUGGUAGUCCACGCCGUAAACGAUGAUUGCUAGUUGUCGGGAUGCAUGCAUUUCGGUGACGCAGCUAACGCAUUAAGCAAUCCGCCUGGGGAGUACGGU